CAGCAAUCUUAAAAUUGUAAUCUUAGAGUUUGUAGCAAAAAUUUUUUAUGUUCUUGAAAGAAUGGUAGUAUAUCAUCAAUGCACUGAUGCUUCUUUCUGUCAAUCUCUUUCCAGUGCCUGACUAUUGUAUAGUAUACGUUUGGAUUCUAGCAUCUCUACCUCCUACUUUUUGAAGCUCCCUCUGGUCACUAAAACAACCAGACCAUAUUCUCUCAAAAUGUUAGGAUUUAACUGUUGAAGGCAAUGUGUUUGAUCCAAGGGAUAAGAAGCCAUUUGAGGAACAAAAAACUUUUCCAGGAUAAUGAUGAUCCUAAAAUAUUGAAACAUUCAGGAGUCUCACUUUGUAGCCUUCCCUUAACUCCAGAUUCGUUAUCAUCUUCUUGGACAUCAUCCAGACAGGUUUCUUUUUAAACCACACACAUAGGAUUUUCUCAUCUCAAUAAUACAGUCCAAUGACAUGGACAUAAAAACAAUGUAUGGUAAUGUAAUAGGGCUCUAGUGUAUAAAAUAUAUGAGGUUCUAAUAUUUCUCGAGGAAUUUUAUCAACAGGAAAAUACUGAAAUCGUAACAGUUCUUUGUGUUUACUGACAAUAAGUCAAACAGCAUAUUAUCAUUAUAUUGAAAAUGUAGAAUGUUGAUAAUGUCUGUUUCUGAUCAAACAAAGCCUACUGAUAGAUACUACCAGUAUUUUGUCUACUGAAUCCUAUUCCAUAGAAAGUUGAGACAUUUCCAAAAAAGGAAAAUUAUUUCUGCAACUCAUGGAAAUAAUCCUAGGGACAGACAUUUUAGGAAUUCUGUUUUCUGGAGCACUAUGAGGAAGAGUUAAUACUU
rnacentral:lncRNA from 1 species